UACGAAGGGUGCAAGCGUUACUCGGAAUUACUGGGCGUAAAGAGCGCGCAGGCGGUCGGAUCAGUCGAAUGUGAAAGCCCCCGGCUCAACUGGGGAGGGUCAUUCGAUACUGGUCGACUCGAAGGCAGGAGAGGGAAGCGGAAUUCCCGGUGUAGUGGUGAAAUGCGUAGAUAUCGGGAGGAACACCAGUGGCGAAGGCGGCUUCCUGGCCUGUUCUUGACGCUGAGGCGCGAAAGCUAGGGGAGCAAACGGG
rnacentral:rRNA from 1 species